UCUUAGGGAUGCUAGGGUUCCGGUUCGUCACGCGAACGUCUGGUCCGAGAGCAGCCCGGUGCGCCCGCGAAGCGAAAUCCGCAGUCGAUGCUUCGCAGGCCGCACUACACGGCGGGACAAAAGCCCGGGAGAU
rnacentral:sRNA from 2 species